ACGAACGCUGGCGGCAGGCUUAACACAUGCAAGUCGAGCGCCUCGCAAGAGGAGCGGCAGACGGGUGAGUAACGCGUGGGAAUCUACCCAUCCUUACGGAACAACUCCGGGAAACUGGAGCUAAUACCGUAUACGCCCUUCGGGGGAAAGAUUUAUCGAGGAUGGAUGAGCCCGCGUUGGAUUAGCUAGUUGGUGGGGUAAAGGCCUACCAAGGCGACGAUCCAUAGCUG
rnacentral:rRNA from 17 species